rnacentral:rRNA from 1 species
UACGUAGGGUGCAAGCGUUAAUCGGAAUUACUGGGCGUAAAGCGUGCGCAGGCGGUUCGGAAAGAAAGAUGUGAAAUCCCAGGGCUCAACCUUGGAAUGGCAUUUUUAACUCCCGAACUAGAGUGUGUCAGAGGGAGGUGGAAUUCCGCGUGUAGCAGUGAAAUGCGUAGAUAUGCGGAGGAACACCGAUGGCGAAGGCAGCCUCCUGGGAUAACACUGACGCUCAGGCACGAAAGCGUGGGGAGCAAACAGGAUUAGAUACCCUGGUAGUCCACGCCCUAAACGAUGUCAACUAGCUGUUGGGUUCUUCGGAGCUUAGUAGCGCAGCUAACGCGUGAAGUUGACCGCCUGGGGAGUACGGUCGCAAGAUUAAA